rnacentral:lncRNA from 1 species
GUUCCUUUACCCGCACAUGAGGCCGUCUCGGGGGGGAGGGGAAGGCGCCGGUGUGAGGCGAGGGGGGAGAGAAGGAAAUAGAGGUGUUGGCGGCCGAAAGGAGAGCCUACAUGUCGAGAAAGAAGAGUUAGGGUUAGGGAAAGAAUUAAGAGAAGUUUAUAAUGGGUUUGAAUGGCUUUCGACCUGACCCACCAUCCGACCCGAAUUCCUGACCCGGCAAUAUGUUGACCUGACUCGGAUUGAGACUAGCCUAUUUGUAUUUCAAGCCCACUCCACUAGGUCCAGUCC